CUCUCUCUCUGCCUCUCUGAGGAGGAGGUCUGUCUGUGUGUGUGGAGAGCAGAGGGGUCUUCAGCCAGGACUCGGAGGACCGGGGAGGAACGUUCAGGAGUCACCCUGUUCAGCCUGGGCAGACAGACACUCUCAGCUCUGGCAGAAGAGCGGAUGUGGGAAGACGGAGGCUUUUAAAACAACAGCGGUUUUUCGUUUUCAUUUUGGAGAGCUCGGUUCCAAAGCGCUGGAAAGUGCUGCUUUUUUCACCUCUCUUUCUAACCAACACUCACACAACACAGUACAGCCCAACUGCUGCUGCUUUUUCUCCGCCUCCCUGUCUGGAACAGUUCGGCAUAACAACAGCUUUCUUAAUAGGUCUCCACAUUUCCUGAAAAAAGUGGACUUUACACAUGAUGAAGAGGAUGUUUGCUUCGUUUGAGUCUUGACGCUCUGUGAAGCCUGCUGAGGGGAAAAAGCUGACAGCUAGCUAGUUAAGCUAGGUUAACUAACCUAACUAUAACCUAGCUAGCUAACACUGGUUAGUUGGGUUAUUCUGGUGGGUUAGCUAGCUAGUUAGCUUGGUAAACUAGCUAGUUACUAGCUAACUAACCUAGCCAUCUCAAAUUCUAUAGGAUAUUUCUGCUUUAAAUUCGUGUAAAGCGGCGUUUGUGUUUCUACAGUGUCUACGCUCCUGGAUUUUUGGCCAACUUUACACGGACUGUAACCUGACUAGCUGUAACUAAUUAGUUUCUCUCUUUGUUUGGACAUUUUUUCACCUUGGCUUUUCUCACAAAAAUGAUGACAAUUUGCUGUGUUUUUCGUGACCACUUUGUACGACUUGGCUCGGUGGCGUUAUAGAGGUUUUCUGAGCCUGGCUGCUCAAAAAAAUAAAACAACACCAUUACGAUAGGUUAGUUAGCUAACCUAACGUUAGGUUAUCGUAGCUAACUUACUAGCGCUAGCUUCGUUUACCUCAGGGCUGCUGCGCGGGAAAGCACCUACCGGUACGCGCGCGACCGAAACACGCGCAUUGUUGAUUUUUGAAUUGUUUGGUGGCUGUAACGGUUUUUUUUGGCUCGCGGACGGACUCGUAGCCUUGCUUUACAGCGUACGAGUUCGCUGCUUCUCUCGUUUCUGUCGCUGGCCGGGUGAAGACGGGCAUAUCCAGCGAUGUGUGGAUUAUGUGAAGCGGGCACAUGGUUAGGAGACGCGUGGGUAUCGAGUGCUCGUCGGUGCCUGUAACUUUUCUCCCCUGUAGGCACGCUCUCUGCUCGUGGGAGGAGGAUAUUUGGCAGCCGGCCUCUUUGUCCCGGUCGCCUCUCGCCGGAUUGCUAUAGCCAGCUAUCCUCGUAAUGAACGCGAAAGCCGCCGGCGAAGUUCCCCCGACUGUAAUGUUGUGUUGAGGUGAUUUGUGUUGCUCUGAAUCCACCACGAGACUGAAGACACUGCUGCUAUUCCCGCUGGAUCGCCGGAUAAAACAGUGUUGUGGAGCUGCUCACUAUUAGCUGUUUCGAAAACGGGAUUUAACUACUGGGGGACUUACGAUGUCAUUUGCACGCUCCUGCUUGGGAACUCUGCUGGUGCUGCUGCUGUGUGCAUUCAUUUCAGAGGGUAAGUCGACACCAAUGAUUUGUGUUUGAUGAAACGUGGGUGGAGGAGAUGGAUGUGAAACACAGUUCAAGUGUCAUUUGCAGAAGGUUUUUCAGUGUGGUGGUGUGAGGUUAUCCACUCGAAGCCUUUGUGCCAGAGCCAGUGCAAUGCUCGACAGACAGAUGAAUGUCAAGUCAACGCUUAUAGCAGGCUCGACCUUGACCCAGCCAUAAGAAGUGUGUUGAAGAGAAGUGUGUAGAAACGAAUCUGCCAUUAGAAAACAAUGCAUUAGAGGCUUAUUAAACACACACAUCCCUCUU